UUCCUGUCUCAUUCUUGUCUCAAGAACAAUGUGUUACAUUCUGUAAUAACAGGUUGUGGAGUGCCUGCGAUUAAGCCACAGACGAUCGGCAGCAGGAUUGUGAACGGACAAAAUGCCAUCUCUGGUUCUUGACCCUGGCAGGUUUCUCUCCAGCUGCCUAGUGGUUUCCACUUCUGUGGAGGAUCCCUGAUCAACCAGAACUGGGUUCUCACUGCUGUCCACUGCUGUCGUGGUCGGCUAUCAUAGAGGCUGUCAUUCUUGGAGAACAUGAUCGUGGCUCCAAUGUUGAACCCAUCCAGGUCAAACUAGUUUCCAAGGUAACAUUAUUUAAUGAUUUCAGAGAGGAAUA
rnacentral:lncRNA from 1 species